AACCUUAAAUAUUAAAGUUCACACUUGUUUAUUUUCAAUCAACAUCUGUCACCUGUCAGUAACCUGUCAGUGGAGCCGUCAAAGUUCUGUCAGCGUUUGUUAUUAUUAUAAUAUGGACAUGGAUGGUAUAUGGCAUUUUUCUACAAAGGAACAUAAUAGAAAAAAAGAGUUUUUAAAUUUAGAUAAUACAAAAGAAGAAACCGUUAUAAAAACAGAAGUAAAAGAUGAUAUAUUUGAAAGUGAAAUCGAAUUUAUUGACGAAACUCGUUACUAUAAUAUAAAAAAUGAACCAUUAAAUUUAAAUGAUAUAAAAGAAGAAACCACUAUCCAACCAGGAGAAGAAAAUACUUUUGAAGGUAAAAUUGGGCUUACCACCGGAAUAUGGGGUGUUUUUAUUAAGGAAGAUGAUAAACAAAAGGAAUUUUUAAACUUAAAUGAUAUAAAAGAAGAAACUGUUAUAAAAAAGGAAUUAGAAGAUGAUAUUUUUGAAGAAGAAAUUAAGCUUAAUUUAAAAAAUAUCAAUGCAGAUGUAACUGAUGCCACUUAUGUUGAGUUAAAGAAACUUAAAUGUAAAUUCUGUCCACAAGUUUAUACAUCAAUAUUAGACUUAAGCAGUCACUUGAAAGUUCACAGUGAGAGGACAUCAUUACCAUGUUCAGAAACCAAGAAAAAGUUUGAGUGUGAUAUUUGUCACAAAUCACAUUUGAGAGAACAUUCAACAUCACACAGAGAAGAACUGCAAUUUGAAUGUGAAACCUAUGAACAGAGCUUUUCUCAAAAUAGUCAAAGUUCACAAAAGACAGAUGAUAUUGUUAUUGAAUCCCAUAAUGAGCAAAAUCCAUCAAAUCAAAGACAUAUGGUAACAGUCAGAGUGGACAAUAAGGAUGUUCUGAAAAAAGCGCGACAACAAAGAUAUCGUGAAAGACACCGUGAGGAAAUUAACAAGCGAAAAAGAGCUAGUGCCCUAAAUAAAGAAAGAGAACGCAGGCAAUUUCUACAAAAUGAACAGCGCAUUGCAACGGGACAAAUUACUGAAGCAACAUCAAAUGAUCAGUUAGUGGAAAUUGUUCAAAUGUAUAUUUAUUAUUUAUUUUUUAAUGUUUUAUUUAAUAACAAAAUUUCAUAACUUUAGAGUGGACAAUAAGGAUGCUCUAAAAAAAGCCAGACAACAGAGAUAUCGUGAAAGGCACCGUGAAGAAAUUAACAAGCGCAAAAGAGUUGGAAGGCUAUAUCAAGGUGAUUCAAUGAGUCAUCAUACAUUGCAGGCGGGCGAACGUCCAUUUGAAUGUCCCAUUUGCAGUAAAUUUUUUGUCCAAAAAGCGGAC
rnacentral:misc_RNA from 1 species